rnacentral:rRNA from 1 species
UACGUAGGGUGCGAGCGUUAAUCGGAAUUACUGGGCGUAAAGCGUGCGCAGGCGGUUAGCCGUGUCCGAUGUGAAAGCCCCGGGCUCAACCUGGGAAUGGCAUUGGAAACUGGCUGGCUGGAGUGUGGCAGAGGGGGUGGAAUUCCGACGUGUAGCAGUGAAAUGCGUAGAGAGUGUGGAGGAACACCGAUGGCGAAAGGCAGCCCCCUGGCCAACACUGACGCUCAGGCACGAAAGCGUGGGGAGCAAACAGG